AGCUGGGAACAGAUCAUCGGUGAUUUGCUCAAGGCAUUUCUGUGACAGUAAUUUAAUUCCUCCACCUAUGGUAUUCGGAGAUAAGAAAAGUGGUCCAUGGCGCAAGAAGAAAGAUGCUAUUCCAAAGAUCCUCUUUCCUAACCAGCCACGUCAUUUGGAGGCUGAACCAAGCAAUGUUGUCAAAAAGAGAGAGUGAAAGCGUCUGGUUGCAGAUGCAUUGUUAGAAUAUGAUGCUUUGUACACUCAUGUGGCUGACAUGCCUCGCCCAGUCUAUGCAAUCCCAACCGAACCCGACAUUCCACCAGUCCCAUCCAAAAUUGUCAAAGAGGGCCAUUUGGCGAGAAGUAUCAUUUGGCAUGAAGAUAUUCUCCCGAUUUCUCCCACGUUGUCAAAUACUCCAGUUGUUUGUGUGGAAUAUCCACCCGCAAUUGUCUCAAAUAAAGGUACCCAGGUGAGAAUCCGUGUUCCAAAACGGUCCAAGGCAACACAGUAUGAAAUGGAUCAUGACCCACCUCGUCCUAUGAAUAUCACUGAGGAGCUGCAGCCAAUUAUAAG